GGCCUGGCUGGCCGGUCCGCCUCACCGCGUGCACUGGUCCGGCCGGGCCUUUCCUUCUGGCUAGCCGCAUGCUCUUCACUGAGUGUGUCGGGGAACCAGGACUUUUACUUUGAAAAAAUUAGAGUGUUCAAAGCAGGCAAUCGAGCCUUGAAUACUUCAGCAUGGGAUAAUGGAACAGGA
rnacentral:rRNA from 1 species